rnacentral:lncRNA from 1 species
UCUGCCUCCCGAGUGCUGGGAUUAAAGGUGUGCACCACCACCCCCCGGUGGAAAAUGAUUUAUAAGGGAAUCAGUAAGUGUACAUUUAAUAAAGUACAUGAAGAAUUUAAGUGUCCUCAGGGCAGCUCACGUAGCCUGUAACACCAGUUCCAGGGGAUCUGACACCAUCUUCUGACCUCCUUGGACACUGCAUAUGUGUGGUACACAGACAUCUCUUCAGGCAAAACACCCAUCUGCAUAAAAUAAAUUUGUACAAAAAAAUACCAAAGAAUGCAAGUGCCCAAAUUGCAAUCUAAGUUCCUCCGAGUUACCCCAGUGCACAGGGAGGCACCAUCCAGAGAUUUAUCACAAUACAUUCAAAGAUGAUACAUUGUCUAUAGCUCAGUUCCUGUGAGUUACCCUAAUCACCAGCAGGAGUUCUUCAGUUGCUUAUCAUACAUUUUAAGUGAUGCAUUGCCUACAGCUUAGUUCCUUUGAGCUACCCCAACGCACAGGGUGAUAUCAGCUAGUAGAUUACCAUCAGACAUUUAAAAAUGAUAUUUGAUCUAUUACCAUAGAUUUUUAUUUUCUGAAUUCUAAUAGAGUUAAAAACUCAAAUUCUUCCACACUAAGAAAAUGAAACAUCAUUAAUUUUGGCUUUCACAAAUAAAGGAUUGACCUUGGGUAAACCACCCCACUGUGUUCAUCUGUCAUAACAGUAGGGUAGACUAUGAAAUUCCUAUAUAGAAAAGCAACAAAAAAACUGUGUAAAGCCUUGAUACUUUAAAUUUCCAGUUAUAUCGGACAUGGUUCUUUCAACUGAAAGAAACUAUUGCAGGAAAUUCUCAAUUCUUAUGAAUAGAAAAACAAAAACAAACAAACAAACAAAAAAAACAGAGAAAAACAACAAAAGAAACUUUGGCUUAAAAAUGGAGUAUUUCUCACCAAUUUUCUUUCAGUGAUCCAAUAUUAGCAAAGACAGUGUAAUCAGAAAUGCUCUUCUGUUGGAAGAGAGGGAAGGAAGUUUUUAAUGCCAGGGUCCAAAUCUCCCCAACUCUAUUUCCACAGCGUGGUACAAAGAGAUAAAAGCAAAACUGAAGAUGACAUAAAACUCUGAUGCACACCUGUCGAGCCUUCUCACAAACCAGCUCAGUUGUUUGCUCUGGAGUGAAAUGGCCUUGUAGGUCCAUGAUACUGCCUGGACUUAAUUGAACAUAAACAGCACAUCUUCUCACUGCUGAAUGUGAAUCACUAGUGCUCUGAGCUGGUGCUGAUGAGAAGGAAUUUUCUAUGGUAAUUACAUUUCCUUUAUAUAGCAAAAUAUUCAGACACAAAUGUGAAAUCAAUAAUAACUGUUUUAAAUUGUCUUCUCUGUAUAUAACUUGUUGGUGAAAUAGGGGUCCGGUGACUUCUCUUUUAAUAUUUUUCAAUUGGUUAUUUUGCUAACUCAGAAAACCGCUAUUAUAUCAGAUAUUUCAUUUUAAUUAUUUAUAUACAUACUCAAGAGCUAUACUGUUAUUUCCAUUAAGAAAUAGUCCUAACAUAUCUAUAUAUUAUAUGCUAAAGGGGGUUCAAAUGACUUUUAAUAUAUAUUCACCAAUAACUAAUUUUAAAUCCUCUGUAAAAUAUUUGCAUGAGAUUUUUAGCAUACUAUAUUUGCUUGUUUUUCGCAUCUAUGAGUGUCAGUAUUCUGCAUAUAUUCUCACAGUAGAACGUAUACCCUAAUUUUUUUGUACCAGUAAAGCUGAUCUGUCAGCUGACAUGCACUGGAAAUAAAUAUGUCUGAAUACAUGC